rnacentral:rRNA from 1 species
UACGAGGGGGGCAAGCGUUGUUCGGAAUUAUUGGGCGUAAAGGGUGCGUAGGCGGUUUUGUAAGUCUUGUGUGAAAUCUUCAGGCUCAACUUGAAGACUGCACGAGAAACUGCAGGGCUUGAGUGUGGGAGAGGUGAGUGGAAUUCCUGGUGUAGCGGUGGAAUGCGCAGAUAUCAGGAGGAACACCAAUAGCGAAGGCAGCUCGCUGGGACGGUACUGACGCUGAGGCGCGAAAGCGUGGGGAGCGAACAGG